UAGGGGAGAGAUCGACGCAAAAAACAACCCUGCGCUUCACUUGGAACUGACUUCGCAGUAACAAUGGCAACCCUGGUUACUACACACUCACAUUCUUGGAUGGAGACAAGAGCACUGAGAAAAAUGUCACCGAUACUGAAAUCAAAUUUGCUCACCUGACUCCAGGCAAAAAGUACACGUUAGAAGGGAAGGAGUGCUUUACAACAGUGCACUGUGACAUACUGACGACACUUGAAGAAUGGACGGAACCAGAGAAGCCACGAGUGCUGGAAAAGACAGAACUCCAGACAACAACAAGACAUCACCAUCACCAUCCAGCUGCCCGUCCUGCAGAACCCUCCAGGAAUGCACUGGAUAUUGUUGAGGAAAUACAGCGGCGGCGGCGACGAACAUCACACAAGGAAGCAAGACACUGAGGAGAAAGCACUGGUAAUGGUUCGCACGGAAAGGGAGAAGGAAAGGAAGGAGGCGCAGGCAAAGAGGAGGAAUAGUCGUUCCGCUGAUCCAGGCCAAAACGAUCACUCGUUGCGAAUUGUGGCAAAGAUCGAGGUGGUGGAGGACAAGGACCCCGAGGAGCUAGUGGUGGUGGGAGGCGACUGGCAUGGAGGGAAGGGUCUGGAAAGCGAAACUGAGUACAUUGUGUUCAUAGUGACGGAGACCAGGGCAGGUCCCUACAGUGAAUACUUCUCGUGCAAACCAAGGAUUAUGAGGACAGCGAAUCGCCCUAAAGAGCCCGCUACUUAGGGGGUGACCGUGGCCCUGUGUUCUGCUGCGCUGUUCCUCAUUUGCUUCAUUGCACCACUGCUGAUCUCUUGUUCUAACACAGGAAGCAGCUUCCGUAGAAGAGUCGUUGUAACCCAGUCAACAAGGAAGGUAAGGCAUGAAGACAGGAAUCAUGCGGACCAUAACUAAGGCCAGCAUUCAGAGACCCUUUGUUCUCUCACCACAGCGACUGAGGUACUGUCAAAGACGACUACGAUAUGUUAAGACAAGUAGAAUCAACCUUCCAGAUACUAUAUAAUGGUUUAGGGAAUAGACCUCUGUAUUAGAUAGCUAGUAUACUCAAUAAUUUUGCUCUGUAUUGAUAUCUCUGUUUCCUUAUUCUUGAAAUAAUUAAUAAAAUGCUCAGCAAGCAAUAUUCUCUGUUGACCGUCGUAGCAAACAGUGUUGUGGUGAUUCUUUGCUCGAUGGAUUCUGUUACUACGAAACCGAGUCUUUUGUGUUGAUUCGAGUCUGUACUGGUGAUAGGCACCAAUAAACCAAACCUGGUAACUGCUACAUUCCUCACCUUCCCCUGGGCUCACUACACAACAGGUGUGGUGUCUUCAAAACGAG